rnacentral:rRNA from 1 species
GACGAACGCUGGCGGCGUGCCUAAUACAUGCAAGUAGAACGCUGAAGACUUUAGCUUGCUAAAGUUGGAAGAGUUGCGAACGGGUGAGUAACGCGUAGGUAACCUGCCUACUAGCGGGGGAUAACUAUUGGAAACGAUAGCUAAUACCGCAUAACAGCAUUUAACCCAUGUUAGAUGCUUGAAAGGAGCAAUUGCUUCACUAGUAGAUGGACCCGCGUUGUAUUAGCUAGUUGGUGAGGUAACGGCUCACCAAGGCGACGAUACAUAGCCGACCUGAGAGGGUGAUCGGCCACACUGGGACUGAGACACGGCCCAGACUCCUACGGGAGGCAGCAGUAGGGAAUCUUCGGCAAUGGGGGCAACCCUGACCGAGCAACGCCGCGUGAGUGAAGAAGGUUUUCGGAUCGUAAAGCUCUGUUGUAAGAGAAGAACGUGUGUGAGAGUGGAAAGUUCACACAGUGACGGUA